rnacentral:rRNA from 1 species
AUUGAACGCUGGCGGCAUGCUUUACACAUGCAAGUCGAACGGUAACAGGUCUUCGGAUGCUGACGAGUGGCGAACGGGUGAGUAAUGCAUCGGAACGUGCCCAGUCGUGGGGGAUAACGCAGCGAAAGCUGUGCUAAUACCGCAUACGAUCUAUGGAUGAAAGCGGGGGAUCGCAAGACCUCGCGCGAUUGGAGCGGCCGAUGUCAGAUUAGCUAGUUGGUGGGGUAAAGGCCCACCAAGGCGACGAUCUGUAGCUGGUCUGAGAGGACGACCAGCCACACUGGGACUGAGACACGGCCCAGACUCCUACGGGAGGCAGCAGUGGGGAAUUUUGGACAAUGGGCGCAAGCCUGAUCCAGCAAUGCCGCGUGCAGGGAGAAGGCCUUCGGGUUGUAAACUGCUUUUGUACGGAACGAAAAGGUCUGGGUUAAUACCCUGGGCUCAUGACGGUACCGUAAGAAUAAGCACCGGCUAACUACGUGCCAGCAGCCGCGGUAAUA